GCCGGGAUGGAGUAACGGCAGCCUCGAUCGGCUCAAAACCGAUUGCUCGAAAGAGCGUGCGGGUUCGAAUCCCGCUCCCGGCA
rnacentral:tRNA from 1 species